GACGAACGCUGGCGGCGUGCUUAACACAUGCAAGUCGAACGGAAAGGCCCUGCUUGCAGGGUACUCAAGUGGCGAACGGGUGAGUAACACGUGGGUGAUCUGCCCUGCACUUCGGGAUAAGCCUGGGAAACUGGGUCUAAUACCGGAUAGGAGCCAUUUUUAGUGUGAUGGUUGGAAAGUUUUUUCGGUGUAGGAUGAGCUCGCGGCCUAUCAGCUUGUUGGUGGGGUAAUGGCCUACCAAGGCGGCGACGGGUAGCCGGCCUGAGAGGGUGGACGGCCACAUUGGGACUGAGAUACGGCCCAGACUCCUACGGGAGGCAGCAGUGGGGAAGAUUGCACAAUGGGCGCAAGCCUGAUGCAGCGACGCCGCGUGGGGGAUGACGGCCUUCGGGUUGUAAACGCCUUUCGCUAGGGACGAAGCUUUUUGUGACGGUACCUAGAUAAGAAGCACCGGCUAACUACGUG
rnacentral:rRNA from 1 species